rnacentral:tRNA from 1 species
UACUGGUUAGUAUAGUGGUGAGUAUCCCCGCCUGUCACGCGGGAGACCGGGGUUCGAUUCCCUGACGGGGAG